AGUGAACGCUGGCGGUAGGCCUAACACAUGCAAGUCGAACGGCAGCACAGUAAGAGCUUGCUCUUACGGGUGGCGAGUGGCGGACGGGUGAGGAAUACAUCGGAAUCUACUUUUUCGUGGGGGAUAACGUAGGGAAACUUACGCUAAUACCGCAUACGACCUACGGGUGAAAGCAGGGGAUCUUCGGACCUUGCGCGAUUGAAUGAGCCGAUGUCGGAUUAGCUAGUUGGCGGGGUAAAGGCCCACCAAGGCGACGAUCCGUAGCUGGUCUGAGAGGAUGAUCAGGCAGCGUGGAACUGUGACACGGCCCAGACUCCUACGGGAGGCAGCAGUGGGGAAUAUUGGACAAUGGGCGAAAGCCUGAUCCAGCCUUACCGCGUGGGUGAAGAAGGCCUUCGUGUUGUAGAGCCCUUUUGUUGGGAAAGAAAAGCAGCAGGUUAAUACCCCGCUGUUCUGACGGUACCCAAAGAAUAAGCACCGGCUAACUUCGUG
rnacentral:rRNA from 1 species